ensembl:misc_RNA Gm24380 predicted gene, 24380
GGGAGGGUGAUCUGGCUGCAACAUCUGUCACUCUAUUCGUCACCAAGGUUGACUCAGCUAAUUUGGCUGGCUAGGUCGGUGUCCCCUUUCAACCUUACCAUGCCAUGUGUGCCUCACCCAAAGCAUCAGGCUCCGUUGAAGAGGACAACCUUCCCCUAAAGAGGAGGAACAUUCUUUUGUCAAGGCUAUAUGAAUAGCUGAACUCCCCUGACAGAGCCUCCAAACAAGCUCUCAAGCUUGCAUUUGCUGAUUUUUUUCAUUCCUAAAUGUUCAAUUCAAUAUAUUAUCAAUCCCUGAGUCUCCAAUGGCAAUGUUUAUGUGUUU